CAGGGCCACCCAUAACUGGGGGGGGGGAGGAGGGGGAGACGGCAAAAGGGCCAGUUUGCCCUGGGACCCCCCUUUGAGAGAGCCUCCAAAAUCACCAUAGGGCAGCUGUGCCAAAUUUGAGUGACAAGCAUUGGGACCUGGCAUAUGGGUUCUCAGCGCCAUUCAGGUUUGGCUCAGCCACCCCUUCAUCAUCAUGGAGGAGCAGCUGGGCCAAAUUUGAGUGAAAGGCAUUGUGACAUGGCACACAGGGUCACAGUGCCACUCAAAUAUGGUGCCCGCUAAUGAUUAGUGUUGGAGACGACUCACCCAUCCCAGCUGGGCCCGUAUCCAGCCACCACUGGUAUCAUCGCACUGGGCCUAAGGCAACCUGCCAGGCUGAGAGUCUGGAGGUAGGAGUGAAUUGAGGGGUCUGGGAUACUGCUCCCACUGGCAGCUGGACUAGAGGUCUGGAAGAGGUGGAACCAGAAGUGGCUCACUGGCUGCAUGCAGGCUCCUCCAUUGCCAUCCUCCUCAUCUUGACAUUUUUCCAUGGACAUUAAAUGAAAACUUUUCUGAUAUUCAGGAAGUGACCCAGUUCUGCACCACUGAUUUUUUUUGUAGCUAUCCUGUAAGGCUGCUGGCUUGAAAGCUGUGUCUAUGCAACCUUCCAAGUGCGGAGUGUCAACCAACUGGACAGGAGAGAGCACUGCCUCCUAUUCCAGAACUCAAAAUAAAUAAAGCUCAUCCAGCUGUACUUCACAAAAAUAAUAAUAAUUCCAUGUUUUGUAUAUAUCUGACAAAACUGGCAACAUUAUACAGACUACUGACUUGAAGACCACCUCUUUUGUAUUUCUCUGUUUCUGGGCUGAUGAAUUAUUUUCAUCCAUUUUUCCCCUUCAGAAUUUCCCUUGGAAAAAGUACUAGCUUAGCUGGUCAUUUCUUUGUAAGGUAGUUAGAAAUUUUAAGUCUUUCUUUGGGCAACUUUUUUUUUUUAAUGUGAAAAGUUAGGUGAUAUAAAUUUUUUACUGCUUUUAUGUUUUUCUGUCUUGUUUUGAAACCAUGACGGUUACACUUUUGGUUCCUAAAAUAAAAUUUAAAAAAAUUAACAGCCAAGUCACAAAGAUAAAUGGGUUGCACAUAGACUAAGGAAUAAACUUCAGAUUUGUGAUUUUUGUUUCUAAUCUUGAUGUAAAUUUACACUAUUUAUAAAUACAUAUUUAUUGCUUGAAAAUAUUUGUGAAUGGAAUGCUGUUAUUUUUUCCAGAUUACCUGCCAUUGAAAUUUUAAGGAGUGCUGUAAUUUCAAACACUACUCCUAUUACAUUUUCUAUAUGUAAAUAAAACUGCUUAGCAUUGUACAGAAACUUUUAUUAAAAUUGUUUAA